rnacentral:rRNA from 1 species
AUUGAACGCUGGCGGCAUGCCUUACACAUGCAAGUCGAACGGUAACAGGUCUUCGGAUGCUGACGAGUGGCGAACGGGUGAGUAAUACAUCGGAACGUGCCCAGACGUGGGGGAUAACGAGGCGAAAGCUUUGCUAAUACCGCAUACGAUCUAAGGAUGAAAGCAGGGGACCGCAAGGCCUUGCGCGUUUGGAGCGGCCGAUGGCAGAUUAGGUAGUUGGUGGGAUAAAAGCUUACCAAGCCGACGAUCUGUAGCUGGUCUGAGAGGACGACCAGCCACACUGGGACCGAGACACGGCCCAGACUCCUACGGGAGGCAGCAGUGGGGAAUUUUGGACAAUGGGCGAAAGCCUGAUCCAGCAAUGCCGCGUGCAGGAUGAAGGCCUUCGGGUUGUAAACUGCUUUUGUACGGAACGAAAAGGCUCUGGCUAAUACCUGGGGCACAUGACGGUACCGUAAGAAUAAACACCGGCGAACUACGU